GGGGGUAUAUUCAGUGCUAGAAUUUAUGCUUAGCAUGCAUGAGGUCCUGGGUUCAAUCCCCAGUACCUCCA
rnacentral:tRNA from 1 species